UACAGAGGGGGCAAGCGUUGUUCGGAAUUACUGGGCGUAAAGGGCGCGUAGGCGGCCGCCUAAGUCAGACGUGAAAUCCCUCGGCUCAACCGGGGAACUGCGUCUGAUACUGGGUGGCUUGAAUCCGGGAGAGGGAUGCGGAAUUCCAGGUGUAGCGGUGAAAUGCGUAGAUAUCUGGAGGAACACCGGUGGCGAAGGCGGCAUCCUGGACCGGCAUUGACGCUGAGGCGCGAAAGCCAGUGGAGCAAACGGG
rnacentral:rRNA from 1 species